rnacentral:tRNA from 1 species
GCCGUCGUAGCACAAUGGUAGUGCGUUGCUUUCCUAUCCAACUCUCGUUGAUCAGGUAGCUUAGGCAGAGGCUGUGGGUUCGAGUCCCACCGUCGGUU